GNCGUCGCGGCCUUAUCAGCUUGUUGGUGGGGUGAUGGCCUACCAAGGCGACGACGGGUAGCCGGCCUGAGAGGGUGACCGGCCACACUGGGACUGAGACACGGCCCAGACUCCUACGGGAGGCAGCAGUGGGGAAUCUUGCGCAAUGGGCGAAAGCCUGACGCAGCAACGCCGCGUGGGGGAUGACGGCCUUCGGGUUGUAAACCUCUUUCGACAUCGACGAAGCCUUCGGGUGACGGUAGGUGUAGAAGAAGCACCGGCUAACUACGUGCCAGCAGCCGCGGUAAUACGUAGGGUGCGAGCGUUGUCCGGAAUUAUUGGGCGUAAAGAGCUCGUAGGCGGUUUGUCGCGUCGGCCGUGAAAACCUGCCGCUUAACGGUGGGCGUGCGGUCGAUACGGGCAGACUUGAGUUCGGUAGGGGAGACUGGAAUUCCUGGUGUAGCGGUGAAAUGCGCAGAUAUCAGGAGGAACACCGGUGGCGAAGGCGGGUCUCUGGGCCGAUACUGACGCUGAGGAGCGAAAGCGUGGGGAGCGAACAGGAUUAGAUAGCCCUGGUAGUCCACGCCGUAAACGGUGGGCGCUAGGUGUGGGGACUGUUGCCACGGUUCCUGCGACGUAGUCGUGAACGCAUCUAAGCGCCCCGCCGG
rnacentral:rRNA from 1 species